GUAACACAGACGUAUCCUGAGGAGAGAUUACAGUCACCAGUGGAUCCUCUAGUCCUGCCUUAGAUGUGAGGAGAGAGCUGGUACCCACCCUCUGGGCACUUGAUUUGUCUUUUGUGGCCUACGUUCCUCAGUUGGCCUUUGGGAACCACACCUAAGUGCGUGUUAAGGUGUGGAGUCUAGACCUGGGUCCCACGUACCUGACCUUCCCAAUGGCAUUUCUGUACCCACAGCUAUUACUAUAACAAGCGCAUUCUGCACAAGACCAAGGGGAAACGGUUCACCUACAAGUUCAAUUUCAACAAACUGGUGCUGGUCAAUUACCCAUUCAUUGAUGUGGGGUUGGCUGGGGGUGCAGUGCCCCAGAGUGCCCCGCCAGUGCCGUCGGGUGGUAGCCACUUCCGCUUCCCUCCCUCAACGCCCUCCGAGGUGCUGUCCCCCACCGAGGACCCCCGCUCACCACCAGCCUGCUCUUCAUCUUCAUCUUCCCUCUUCUCGGCUGUGGUGGCCCGCCGCCUGGGCCGAGGCUCAGUCAGUGACUGUAGUGAUGGCACGUCAGA
rnacentral:lncRNA from 1 species